rnacentral:rRNA from 1 species
UACGUAGGGGGCUAGCGUUGUCCGGAAUCAUUGGGCGUAAAGAGCGUGUAGGCUGCUCGGUAAGUCCGCUGUAAAAGUCAAAGGCUCAACCUUUGAAUGUCAGUGGAUACUGCCGGGCUAGAGUCCGGAAGAGGCGAGUGGAAUUCCGGGUGUAGCGGUGAAAUGCGUAGAGAUCCGGAGGAACACCAGUGGCGCAGGCGGCUCUCUGGGUCGGCCCUGACGCUGAGGCGCGAAAGCGUGGGGAGCAAACAGG